GUGAAUAUGAGAGCUCUGGGUAGCCCCCAACGGUAGCGAAUGUCCUUAGUACACAGGUGUUGCAGCAAGGGCCGUAGGGAUCGGUGCCAAUUCAAGGUGUUCCUCGUGAGGUCAGGGAAGAACUGCAAUGUUCAGCCUUCAAAUGUCAACAGUGACUCUGAUAUGCCUCUAAUCUUCAGGUUAUACCUGUUCCAUUGGUCCUGCAGGGCAUCCACUAUGCGCUGGGCUCUCUGUUGUUGCUGCUGGAUCUCCUCCAGUUUUUGUUCCAACGCUGGAAGAUGGGUGUCAUGGACACUAUUUGAGGCCUCCAGUUGUGUGAUAUUUUUAAUAGAUGCUCCCUCUGUGGCCUUCUGAAAUUGGACCAUGUCAGCUGCUAUAUUUGUUCUGAGCUCAGCAAGCAUAGUCUUGAGUAAGGCCACUGUGACCGGGUAAUCCGCAGUAGGAGCUUUAGCUCCUGGUCUUUGGCUAAGCGAGACCCCUUCUCCUGGAUCAAAGGACAGGUCUCCCAAGAAGUAAGACGAGCCAUCAUCCAGGUGCGCCAUAUUGUCCCAGACGGCCCCCUGAGAGAUUCGGAACAAGUCACUGUUAUCUCUGCUUUUCUGCUCUGGGUUUUUUAUAUUUUGGUUCCAUGGUGUUCUCGGCUAUUUGGUUAAGGGAGACAGCGUCAUUUUGAGCUGAAAUAUACACCCAAAAACAGUCUAUUUUAGGAAACUUUGGUCGGAGCACAUGAGAAAUGCGACUUCUCCGGUUCACUGCUGGCUCUCUCCCCCCAGUUUAAGGUUGUGUGGCGGAACCUGUAUGUGAUCUGAGCACCAUCCAGUAGUAAUGGGCGCUCAGAUCUAAGCUACCCGGGGAUAG